rnacentral:misc_RNA from 1 species
AAGUCGUAACAAGGUUUCCGUAGGUGAACCUGCGGAAGGAUCAUUACCAAAUCCAAAUACCUAAACCCCAUGUGAACUAUUGUUUAGUCUGUCUUUGGGAGAAAGAUGAAAAGAGGAAAGGAAGAUAGUAUUUUUAAGGAGUUUUAUUCUCUGUUAUUGUCUUCUUUUUUUUCCUAGUAGUAUUUCUCCCAAUAGAGUCCGGCGCAAUCGUUUGGUUGUGUCCAGAUUCGAAACCCCUUUUUUAAAACCACUUGAUUUUUCUGUUGGAAUUUCUUUUAUUAAUUUUAAAUAAAAGACAACUUUUAACGGUGGAUCUCUUGGCUCGU